rnacentral:rRNA from 1 species
UACGUAGGUGGCAAGCGUUGUCCGGAUUUACUGGGCGUAAAGAGCGCGCAGGCGGCUCGGUAAGUCUGCUGUGAAAGUCGGGGGCUCAACCCUCGAAUGCCGGUGGAUACUGUCGGGCUAGAGUGCGGAAGAGGCGAGUGGAAUUCCUGGUGUAGCGGUGAAAUGCGCAGAUAUCAGGAGGAACACCGAUUGCGAAGGCAGCUCGCUGGGACGUAACUGACGCUGAGACGCGAAAGCGUGGGGAGCAAACAGG